ACUGAUGACGGUGAUUACAACGUUAAGUUGCGCAAUCUUGUGAAGUUCUUAGAAGACGGUGAUAAAACUAAAAUCACUUUGCGUUUCCGAGGUCGUGAAUUAGCCCAUCAAGAAAUUGGUGUGCGUAUGUUGGAGAGAUUGAAAGCUGAUCUAGAGCCAUAUGGCCAAGUAGAGCAGUUUCCAAAGAUGGAAGGUCGCCAAAUGGUGAUGGUUCUUUCUCCAGUGAAGAAGAAAUAAUUACUGGCAACAGUAGUUGAAGUAACCCGGCAGAUGAAAGUUUGACCGGAGAAGGACGAAAGUCCUAUUAGAAGUAUGUCUGGGUAA
rnacentral:misc_RNA from 1 species